CGAAAGCCUGAUGCAGCAACGCCGCGUGUGCGAUGAAGGCCUUACGGGGUCGUAAAAGCACUUUUCUGAGAGAUGAGCAAGGACAGUAUCUCAGGAAUAAGUCUCGGCUAACUACGUGCCAGCAGCCGCGGUAAAACGUAGGAGGCAAGCGUUAUCCGGAUUCACUGGGCGUAAAGCGCGUGCAGGCGGUUCGGUAAGUGGGUAUGAAAUCUCCUGGCUUAACUAGGAGAGGUUAUCCAAUACUACCGGACUUGAGAGUGGUAGAGGAAGAUGGAAUUCCCGGUGUAGUGGUGAAAUGCGUAGAUAUCGGGAGGAACACCAGUGGCGAAAGCGAUCUUCUGGACCAUUUCUGACGCUCAGACGCGAAAGCUAGGGUAGUAAACGGGAUUAGAGACCCCGGUAAUCCUAGCCGUAAACGAUGUAAACUUGGCGUCGGUGGCUUAAACACCAUCGGUGCCGCAGCUAACGCGAUAAGUUUACCGCCUGGGGACUACGAUCGCAAGAUUAAAACUCAAAGGAAUUGACGGGGG
rnacentral:rRNA from 1 species